CUUUCUUUGCUGGCGACCGGCGCACGGGUGAGUAACACGUAUCCAACCUGCCCUUUACUCGGGGGUAGCCUUUCGAAAGAAAGAUUAAUACCCGAUAGCAUAAUGAUUCCGCAUGGUUUCAUUAUUAAAGGAUUCCGGUAAAGGAUGGGGAUGCGUUCCAUUAGGUUGUUGGUGAGGUAACGGCUCACCAAGCCUUCGAUGGAUAGGGGUUCCGAGAGGAAGGUCCCCCACAUUGGAACUGAGACACGGUCCAA
rnacentral:rRNA from 1 species